rnacentral:lncRNA from 1 species
CUCGUGUCAUUGUAUCUCCAGCUUUUCCUGCAUCUGCAAUAGCUCUAACAUCGCCGCCAGCACAAAAAGCUUUUUCUCCGGUUCCCUUUAUAAUUAUUAGAAAAGUUUCAGGAUCUUGCUCCCAAGCCUUUAUCUGUGGAUAAAUUUGUUGGAUCAUCUUGAAACUUAGUGCAUUGAGAACCUUGGGUCUGUUCAAGGUUAUUAUUCCUGCGCCUCCUUGCUUUUGCAACAGAACAUCAGCUGCAGAAUCGGUAUGCUUACACGUUUUCAAAUGCUGUAAUAUUACUUGCAGUCUGUUAAAGGGCUUCAGUCUGCGCGGCGCCAUCAGCACGCGUGCCGCCAUGGCGGCAGCCGGCGCCGUCGCUCUCCG